AUUGAACGCUGGCGGCAGGCUUAACACAUGCAAGUCGAACGGAAACAGGAAUAGCUUGCCAUUUGCUGUCGAGUGGCGGACGGGUGAGUAAUGCUUGGGAAUAUGCCAAAACGUGGGGGACAACAGUUGGAAACGACUGCUAAUACCGCAUAAUGUCUUCGGACCAAAGCAGGGGACCUUCGGGCCUUGCGCGUUUUGAUUAGCCCAAGUGGGAUUAGCUAGUUGGUAAGGUAAUGGCUUACCAAGGCGACGAUCCCUAGCUGAUCUUAGAGGAUGACCAGCCACACUGGAACUGAGACACGGUCCAGACUCCUACGGGAGGCAGCAGUGGGGAAUAUUGCACAAUGGAGGAAACUCUGAUGCAGCCAUGCCGCGUGUGUGAAGAAGGCUUUCGGGUUGUAAAGCACUUUCAGUGGGGAGGAAAGGGUUNUCCGCUUAAUAAGUAACAUCUGUGACGUUACCCACAGAAGAAGCNCCGGCUAACUCCGUGCCAGCAGCCGCGGUAAUACGGAGGGUGCGAGCGUUAAUCGGAAUUACUGGGCGUAAAGCGCGCGUAGGUGGUUAAUUAAGUCAGAUGUGAAAGCCCAGGGCUCAACCUUGGAACUGCAUUUGAAACUGGUUAACUAGAGUUUUGUAGAGGGUGGUAGAAUUUCAGGUGUAGCGGUGAAAUGCGUAGAGAUCUGAAGGAAUACCAGUGGCGAAGGCGGCCACCUGGACAAAGACUGACACUGAGGCGCGAAGGCGUGGGGAGCAAACGGGAUUAGAUACCCCGGUAGUCCACGCAGUAAACGAUGUCUAUUAGAAGUUUGUGGCUAUAUGCCGUGGGUUUCAAAGCUAACGCAUUAAAUAGACCGCCUGGGGAGUACGGCCGCAAGGUUAAAACUCAAAUGAAUUGACGGGGGCCCGCACAAGCAGUGGAGCAUGUGGUUUAAUUCGAUGCAACGCGAAGAACCUUACCAUCCCUUGACAUCCAGAGAAUCACCUAGAGAUAGAUGAGUGCCUUCGGGAGCUCUGAGACAGGUGCUGCAUGGCUGUCGUCAGCUCGUGUUGUGAAAUGUUGGGUUAAGUCCCGCAACGAGCGCAACCCUUAUCCUUACUUGCCAGCGGGUUAUGCCGGGAACUUUAGGGAGACUGCCGGUGAUAAACCGGAGGAAGGUGGGGACGACGUCAAGUCAUCAUGGCCCUUACGGGAUGGGCUACACACGUGCUACAAUGGCAGAUACAAAGGGUUGCUAACCAGCGAUGGUAUGCGAAUCUCAUAAAGUCUGUCGUAGUCCGGAUCGGAGUCUGCAACUCGACUCCGUGAAGUUGGAAUCGCUAGUAAUCGUGGAUCAGAAUGCCACGGUGAAUACGUUCCCGGGCCUUGUACACACCGCCCGUCACACCAUGGGAGUGGGCUGCACCAGAAGUCAUUAGCUUAACCUUUCGGGGAUGGCGAUGACCACGGUGUGGUUCAUGACUGGGGUGAAGUCGUAACAAGGUAGCCCUAGGGGAACCUGGGGCUGGAUCACCUCCUUACGUAAAGAAACUACUUUCAGUGCCCACACAGAUUGUUUGAUUAGAAUGUAAAAGAGAUGUAUAGAUAAUUGACUUGCUCAAUAAUCGAAUUGGGUCUGUAGCUCAGUUGGUUAGAGCGCACCCCUGAUAAGGGUGAGGUCGGCAGUUCAAAUCUGCCCAGACCCACCAAUUCGAUAUCUUUACUACUACCAUGUUGGGGCUAUAGCUCAGCUGGGAGAGCGCCUGCCUUGCACGCAGGAGGUCUGCGGUUCGAUCCCGCAUAGCUCCACCACUUCUUAAGAAGUGAUCCAACAUGAGACAGAAGCCUUAGAUAAAUGCCCCCAUUUAUCUAAGGCUUUUUUUAACGAAAAAGCCUGCUCUUUAACAAUUAGGAAAGCUGAUAAAGUUCUUAUUUAUCACGCAAUAACAAUGACUUGUUGUAUUUAUAUUACAAGUUGAUUGGUGUGAUAAAUAUAAACGAAAUUUUACGUUUCAUUUAUGAAAUGUGAAUUGUUCUCAGUAUUUGAACUAACUAUUCGUAGUUAGAUUAGAUGCUGUAAUCAAGCAAGAUAAAAAGCACAUAUUAUCUUCGGAUAGUAUGAGUACGUAUCUACUCAGUUAGUUUCGAUUAACUGAUAGGUGCACGAAAAACGCAAAUGUGUUUUUCAUAGUAAAAUAUGAGAAUCGCAAGCGUCUUGGAAACAGACAUACUUACUUUAAAAUUCUUAGAGUUUGUAUGGUUAAGUGAAUAAGCGUGCACGGUGGAUGCCUAGGCAAUUAGAGGCGAUGAAGGACGUGGUAAUCUGCGAUAAGUCCAGGGGAGUUGAUAACAAGCGUUAUAUCCUGGAAUUU
rnacentral:rRNA from 1 species